rnacentral:lncRNA from 1 species
GGGACAGUUUGAUAACCGUUUCCGCCUAUUUCUCGCUCAAAUCGCUAUGUUUAUGAAGAGAAGCAUGUUGAGGGAUUAAAAUUUGCGCCUAAAUUAAUAAGUACACCCACAAAUGGACCCGAACAGCAUUAGUCGCACGAACUGGGCCAUAAACCGGCGGGCGGAGGGUUUAGUGAGUAAACACAUGGCAGACAUGGCACAGAGACGCGCAGCGGUGUCUGAGGAGGAUCUGCACCCUCUGCCCGGAGACUUGAGCAGAAGCGCAGAAGAAAUCCCGGGGCGGGCAGAGGUGAAUUUCAGCGCCGAUUCACAGUCCUACAAUCCUGCUGCAGGAGUGGCGGGAAAGUUGAUGAACGACCCAGACAGCACACAUACAGUCAGCAGCACAGAGAAAAAUCAUAUCACUGCUUAUUGAGAUCAAGGAGGAGCAGCAGAGGCAGUGGGAAGUUCUGAAAGAUCUACAGGCUAGGAUUCACGGACAAGUGUGUGAAGAGGAAGAUGAGCCGCUCGACAUCGAUCUGCCGCUACGAACAAUGGAGCAGCUUGAUGUAACUGAACAGCAUUUAGAAGAUACUGAAGCUCAGAGGAGAAUGGUGUCGCACCUCUCAAGGAUGGGUGGAGCCACAGUUGAUGAUGCAGUUCGGCGUCUUAUGCACACAGUUCUGUCUUUCAGUGUGGGCUCAGAGCUCAACUGGGUUGGCAGAGGACAGAAGAGGAGCUUCAGAAACACCAGACUGCAGGGUGUUUUAUUUCGUGCCUUAAAGAGGACACCUAUUGGAAAGGAGGCCACACAUCAUCAGUUUGCUGAUGUAGUGAAGAAAUGGUUGCGGUUUGCCCCUUUUCGACAGAGAGGAAGCGGACGAAGACCGCAUUGGAAGCCUAUUGAGUUCAUCUGUCCCAAAUAUGAUAAUACAGUAGAGGAUCAUAACCCGCUAAACUUGGAAUCUGGAGAGGUUCAGGUGACAAUAUAACAUAAUUAUAUGUAAUAGUGUGUCAUUAAAUGACUCAAAGUAUAAUUAUAAAAUAUUAAAAAUAAACUGGGAAAGUGAACUUAGUAAAUGAAGAACUGACCCCAGAGUGAAGGAUUGACAUUCAAAGAUAAAGUUUUUUUUGUCAUAUUACGUUCUUUGUAAUAUAAUAUUGCCUUUGCAGCUUUUAAGUUAAAAUUUUGAAUCAUUUGAAAAUGUUCAAAUUAAAGAAUAGAUAUUUAAAAUAAAAAUAGAAACAGUGUUAUAUUGUCUGUUUUGCACCUACAACUUUAUUUGAAAUAUAUUGUACUUUGUUUGUUUCAGUUUAAACCUAUUUUAAUAUUAAUUUUUACCCUAAAAAAAUCAGUUUUGCGGUUUGUUUUGCAUUUUGAAAAGAAUAUUAAUGCAUUUGUUUCAAAGAACUUUUGCAUUCUGACACAUUUGUUUAUGUGUAUAAUUUACACAUUUUUACUUCCAUGUGAGAAAUAUGUAAUAUUUUCUACACCCAACCUACAUAAAUACAGAAAUAGAUGAUUGUUUUCCUCACUAGUGAAUAAAUUCGGCUUAAUGUACUAUUAGAAAUGAUCUCAAAACAGGAUUAAAAGUAUAUUUAAGUAUAAUUUCCAAUAUAUAUAACUUUAUAUUAAAUCAUAUAUGAUGGACAGGCUAAUUUUAUAGCUAGCAUUUCAUGUACACACACACACACUAUACGUCCUAAUAACACCUGGAAUAUUGGAAAAUCAAAGAUUUGUAAUCUCUUGUAGCUACAUAAUAAAAACAAGUGAAAAUGUU